CUGUGUUUCAGUUGCUGAGGACAAGAAGGUGCUGGCAGAGCAGAGGCCUGGGGAAGGUGUGGAAGCUCUUUCUUCCCCAGCCCACUCUGUGCAUCACUUCCAUCUGUUCCCGAACUGUAUCCUUUAAUAACAAACGGUGAAUCUAGUCGAAAAGGAACGGGGAUCAGUUUGCUGUUGUCAGGAUGCACUGUUGACUUCACAAAAGCAAACACAAGGAUCCCCUGGGCAGUGUUCACUAUGACAAGACUCCAUCUGAUUUGAGACCAUGCAAGCAGAAUCUCCUGAAGGCAACCACAUCCAACCCUGAACCAGGCACGGGACACAUACCCUUCGGUCCUCCAAGUCAUAGUUUCCAUGAGGAUAGGCCCGUGUGGCACUCAGAUCCAGAGCUCCCAGCUUCCCAGACAGCUCCAGCAGCUCAAGCCACGGGUGCUGCCACCUCCCUCCCAUUCUCUGAUGUCAGCUGUCUCCGUGAGAGCCACCACCAUCUGCCUGGCUUUGAGAGUUAGAAACCUGAAGAUCUCUCCUCUCUCUCACCCCCACAUCUGAUCCAUUCAGGCUUACUUCCUCUCUUCAUUUCUUCUUAAUUUGAGGGAAAAAAAAAGAAUUAAAUACAGAAAAUACAAAGAAUGAGUACAUCCUCCCAAUCCCCUUCCACAGAAUUAACAGCUGCAAACAUUCGGUUAUAUUUGCUUCCAAUUUUUCUUUUUUUUUUUUUUCUUUUUCCCCCAAAAGCCAUCACCCGCAGUCUCCUGUCUCCCUAUUCUAUCAGAGAGAAAGUAUUAUGAGUUCAAGGUAUGAAAUUCCAGUCCACUUUCUUAUACUUCUACAAAUAAGAAUACAUGUAUCUGUAAACAAAGAUGUAGUUUUGGUUUAUAUUGUCAUCUGCAUAAAUGUUGUACUUUAUGCGUCUUGCUUUUUCCACUUAACAUUGUAGAUGCUUUCCAUGUAACAUCAUACACGUGUUUCCAUGUUAAUACUAUACAUCGCUAACUAGAUCAUCAUUUUCAACUUCUAUUAGUAUUCCACUGUAUGAAUAUACAUUAUAUUUUCCUAUUUCCCUACUGAUGGGCAUUCAGCUUAUUUUUCUCUAUUAUAAACUAGACUGUGGGGCACCCGGGCGGCUCAGUUGGUUAAGCAUCCGACUUCGGCUCAGGCCAUGAUCUCACGAGCCCCAGGUCGGGUCUGCGCUGACAGCACGGAGCCUGGAGCCUGCUUUGGAUUCUGUGUCUCCCUCUCUCUCUGCCCCUCCGCGGCUCACACUCUGUCUCCCUCUCUCCCUCAAAAAUAAACAUUAAAAAAAACAUAAAAAUAAAAAUAAAUAAAGAAGGCUGCCUGGAACAACUUGAACACAAGGAUGGGAGUGUCCCUGUGGCUCUGGCCCUGAGGGGUAUUGCUGGUGACAGGGCAUCUCCUCUUCUGCCCUCAGCAACACAUGGUUCAAACCCUGGUCUUUCACUCAGAUAGCUGAGCCAUUCCCUGAACAGCUCACCUCCUCUACAGUCUGAUCCCUCUGAUCCUUCGCCACAUGGUGACCAGAGACCCUCUGAACCACAAACCUCACCACCUCGCCCUGCAGGCUAAAUGCAAACCCCUCUCAUCUGAAUGACACACAAGGCCCUUCAGGAACUGCCUGGUUCCCCAACGCACUGACCGGACUACCCGCUCUCUCCCCUGGGCUUUGCUUACAGUCCCUUCUAUCUGACCUUUCCUGGAUGCCUCCUCCCUCUGGCCUUCGCCUCCCUUAGAACCUGAGGUCAAGGUCUGUGACCACCUCUGCCGGUCUAUCCUCCAUGACCAGGGAUGACUGUUUUGAUCCCUUUUGAACCACCAGCACCUGGCCCAGAGCUUGGUAUUACCUGUCAGCAUUUGCUUACCCACCUUCCAAUCUAACAAGCUCAUUCUGAAGGAAUGAAAACGUGAUAAUAUAUAUGGGUUCUGUUUCCACUGCUUUUCAAAAGGGACACACGGUCUUCCCAUUUCAGAAUAAGAUGUGAAAUGCGUUCUCUCAGAAAACAAGGAAAUACUCACAAUUGAAACGACCAAAUUUGUAGGAUCCAAUAACUCUGUCCACUGAACGAAUCUCUGAAUAAAAGACUGGAGAGGGAGAAGAGCACCAGAGAGGUUAGUGGUGGCAGAAAAGAAAAGAUAUAUGGUAAUAAUAACAGUGAACAUAAUGUUUGAGACCCUAACAGGGCUUCUAACUGCAGCUCCUGCAACAUCCCCAUUUUACAGGUGAGGUAAAGCUCAUGAACGUACCCAAGAAAACCCAGCCGGGACCAAACCCAGCAGCCUGUGCUCUUAACUACUCUAAUAUCAAAUUACUCUCGAGGGUUAAAAGCUCAGACUCUGGGGUCAAAUGGGCCUAUCUAUGUUCACAUCGCACAAAUGACCUGGAACCAACUACCUGGAAAGUUCUCAGAAGCUUCUUCUUUACCCUCUUAUCAUUGUUCUAAGACUUAACUUGAGUCAUAAAGAACCCGACACCCCAGCCAGGCAUCAAUAAAGGCAGCUCAGUUCACAUGUGGACGGAGGAAGUGUGGUUGGCUUCCAAAACCUUCCCCUUCCCCUCCCCCACAACACACACCACCUCUGCAAUGGUUUUGGCUUCCGGUCCUGGCUCUGCCUGGAAAGCUGGAGUUCCCUGUCCCCUUUCAACUUCCCUACUCAAAACCAGGCUAGGCCCUCCUUUAGGUAAGGCUGAAAGAGAACACCCUAGCUAGAAUUGUAUGGUCCAAUUAGCCCCGUGUGGCUCUGGAGCCCCUGAAAUGUGGCCAGGCCAAACUGAGAUAUGCUGUACGUGUAAAAUAGGCACCAGAUUUCAAAGAUGUAAAAAAGGGAUGUAAAUAUCUCAUUAAUAAUUUUUACAUUGAUUACGUGUUGAAACGUUAAUAUUUUAUGUUUGUUGGGCUAAAUACAAUAGACUGUUAAAAUUAAUUUCUGUUGUUCCUUUUUACCCUUUUGAAUGUGGCUACUAGAAAAAUUUUAAUGACCUCUACGGCUCCCAUAGUAUUUCUAUUGGGCAGCGCCGCCCAGUCACCGCCUAGAGGCGGG